GACGAACGCUGGCGGCGUGCCUAAUACAUGCAAGUCGAGCGCAGGAAACUGACGGAACUCUUCGGAGGGAAGGCAGUGGAAUGAGCGGCGGACGGGUGAGUAACACGUAAGGAACCUGCCUCAAGGAUUGGGAUAACUCCGAGAAAUCGGAGCUAAUACCGGAUAGUUCAACGGACCGCAUGGUCCGUUGAUGAAAGGCGCUCCGGCGUCACCUUGAGAUGGCCUUGCGGUGCAUUAGCUAGUUGGUGGGGUAACGGCGCACCAAGGCGACGAUGCAUAGCCGACCUGAGAGGGUGAUCGGCCACACUGGGACUGAGACACGGCCCAGACUCCUACGGGAGGCAGCAGUAGGGAAUCUUCCACAAUGGACGAAAGUCUGAUGGAGCAACGCCGCGUGAGUGAUGAAGGUUUUCGGAUCGUAAAACUCUGUUGUAAGGGAAGAACACGUACGAGAGGAAAUGCUCGUACCUUGACGGUACCUUACGAGAAAGCCACGGCUAACUACGUGCCAGCCGCCGCGGUAA
rnacentral:rRNA from 1 species